AAUCUAAGUAACUACGAGGAAAAGACAUCAACCGAGAUUCCGAAAGUAGUGGCGAGCGAAAUCGGAACAGCCUAGUCUUCUUUAGCAAUUGACUUAUCAAAACAGCUUGGAAACGCUGACCAUAGUGGGUGAUAGUCCCGUAUGAGAAAAGUCUUUUGUGGAACUGAGUAGACGAUAAGUAGGGCGGGACACGAGAAAUCCUGUCUGAAGAUGGGGGGACCAUCCUCCAAGGCUAAAAUACUCGUAAUCGACCGAUAGUGAACAAGUACCGUGAGGGAAAGGCGAAAAGAACCCCGGGAGGGGAGUGAAAUAGAUCCUGAAACCGCAUGCAUACAAAAAGUCGGAGCCUGGAAACGGGUGACGGCGUACCUUUUGUAUAAUGGGUCAGCGACUUACAUUCAGUGGCAAGGUUAACCGAAUAGGGGUAGCCGAAGAGAAAUCGAGUCCGAAUAGGGCGUCUAGUCGCUGGGUGUAGACCCGAAACCAAGUGAUCUAUCCAUGGCCAGGAUGAAGGUGCGGUAACACGCACUGGAGGUCCGAACCGACUAAUGUUGCAAAA
rnacentral:rRNA from 1 species